CCUUGGAACAGGGUAUCGGAGAAGGUGAGAAUCCUGUGCCGUGGCGUGGAGCGGCCGCACGAUGCGUCCUUGUCGAGUCGGGUUGCUUGGGAUUGCAGCUUGAAGUGGGUGGUAAAUUCCAUCUAAAGCUAAAUACUGGCGAGAGACCGAUAGCGAACAAGUACCGUGAGGGAAAGAUGCAAAGAACUUUGAAAAGAGAGUCAAAGAGUGCUUGAAAUUGGCAGGAGGAAACCCGGUUGCGCCCCGCAUCGCCGC
rnacentral:rRNA from 1 species